CGGCUACCACAUCCAAGGAAGGCAGCAGGCGCGCAAAUUACCCAAUCCCGACGCGGGGAGGUAGUGACAAUAAAUACUGAUACAGGACUCUUUUGGGUCUUGUAAUUGGAAUGAGUACAAUUUAAAUCCCUUAACGAGGAACAAUUGGAGGGCAAGUCUGGUGCCAGCAGCCGCGGUAAUUCCAGCUCCAAUAGCGUAUAUUAAAGUUGUUGCAGUUAAAAAGCUCGUAGUUGAACCUUGGGUCUGGCUGGCCGGUCCGCCUCACCGCGAGUACUGGUCCGGCUGGACCUUUCCUUCUGGGGAACCCCAUGGCCUUCACUGGCUGUGGGGGGAACCAGGACUUUUACUGUGAAAAAAUUAGAGUGUUCAAAGCAGGCCUUUGCUCGAAUACAUUAGCAUGGAAUAAUAGAAUAGGACGUGUGGUUCUAUUUUGUUGGUUUCUAGGACCGCCGUAAUGAUUAAUAGGGAUAGUCGGGGGCGUCAGUAUUCAGCUGUCAGAGGUGAAAUUCUUGGAUUUGCUGAAGACUAACUACUGCGAAAGCAUUCGCCAAGGAUGUUUUCAUUAAUCAGGGAACGAAAGUUAGGGGAUCGAAGACGAUCAGAUACCGUCGUAGUCUUAACCAUAAACUAUGCCGACUAGGGAUCGGGCGAUGUUAUUUUUUUGACUC
rnacentral:rRNA from 1 species